GGAAGACCCGGGAUCCACGGGAGGCGGCGGCCGCAGCCUGGGAUUCCCCAGGGACCCCCCGGAGCCGCUGCGUCUCCCAUGGACUUGCCCGGGGACUCCAGCCCGCCUGGCCAGCCGCGUCUGUGCCGCCAGCCUCUGACUCGAGCAUUAUGGGGAGCCAGGAGCCCGAAACGGCCGAGGCUGCAGCUCCCGGGGGCCCCUUCUCCCCUGGAAAAGGCCUCUCGGCGGGUCCUGGCCGUGGUGCUAGAAGAUGUCAUGGCUGUUCACAUGAGACAGGGUCUUGCUAUGUUGCACAAGCUGGUCUCAAACUGGCAUCAAGCGAUCUUCCCAUCUCUGCCUCCCAAAGUAUUGGGAUUACAGGCGUGAGCCACGGCGCCGGGCCGAAACUCUUCUGCUUCCUUCCCAGCCCAGCCUCCUUAGGAAGCAGGCUGAGGUCUUUGACUCCACUGCACAGAUAAGAAAAACUGUGGCCCAAAAAAGGCAGUGACUCACCCUAGCUCACCCUGUCUUUUUCAUUUCUCUAAACAGCGUGGAUGAGAUGACCCAGGUCCCACACACCUGCAGUUUAGGACUCUUAAUAUCUGGCCCCUAAUUCAGUCCACUUCAUCUCUUUGGAUCCAAGUGAAUUCUAGCCCCAAUCUCUGUUAUGUUUGUGGCUCAGGGCACUGUUAGGCACAGGGAGACCUUGUCCCGUCCAGCUUCAUUCUAUCACCUUGCUCUUGACACCUCUUUCUCUUCCAGGUCCCCGUGGUGCCCUCAAAGGAGACCUCCAUCCCACGGCACC
rnacentral:sRNA from 1 species